GAUGAACGCUGGCGGCGUGCCUAAUACAUGCAAGUCGAGCGAACGGACGAGAAGCUUGCUUCUCUGAUGUUAGCGGCGGACGGGUGAGUAACACGUGGAUAACCUACCUAUAAGACUGGGAUAACUUCGGGAAACCGGGGCUAAUACCGGAUAAUAUUUUGAACCGCAUGGUUCAAAAGUGAAAGACGGUCUUGCUGUCACUUAUAGAUGGAUCCGCGCUGCAUUAGCUAGUUGGUAAGGUAACGGCUUACCAAGGCAACGAUGCAUAGCCGACCUGAGAGGGUGAUCGGCCACACUGGAACUGAGACACGGUCCAGACUCCUACGGGAGGCAGCAGUAGGGAAUCUUCCGCAAUGGGCGAAAGCCUGACGGAGCAACGCCGCGUGAGUGAUGAAGGUCUUCGGAUCGUAAAACUCUGUUAUUAGGGAAGAACAUAUGUGUAGGUAACUGUGCACAUCUUGACGGUACCUAAUCAGAAAGCCACGGCUAACUACGUG
rnacentral:rRNA from 1 species